CGGAAAAGGGAAAGGCUUAGUGGCGGACGGGUGAGUAACGCGUGGGUAACCUGGCCCAUACAGGGGGAUAACACUUAGAAAUAGGUGCUAAUACCGCAUAACAACAGAAAGCGCAUGCUUUUUGUUUGAAAACCAAGGUGGUAUGGGAUGGACCCGCGUCUGAUUAGCUGGUUGGCGGGGUAAAGGCCCACCAAGGCGACGAUCAGUAGCCGGCCUGAGAGGGUGGACGGCCGCAUUGGGACUGAGACACGGCCCAAACUCCUACGGGAGGCAGCAG
rnacentral:rRNA from 1 species